rnacentral:tRNA from 1 species
CAGAGAAUAGUUUAGUAUAAAAUAUUAGUUUUGGGUAUUAAUGAUGGAUUUGAUCCUUCUCUGA